CCCCUUUUCUUGGGGCCCGGAAGGACCUAUAUGACGAGUGCCGUCUUCGGGCGGCUAUGGCAAUAAACGGGCGAUGCAAUAAACCCAUUGGACCCGGGGGCGGUACCCGGCGCCUCCACCAAAAACCGGUCUCUUCCGAGCACUCGGACCGGCUUUUGAUGGGGGCGAAAUAGGAUCGACAAGGGUGUAAAGAUCGACUUUUUGCUCGGCAUUGUACCACCGUUAUCGGGCUAAACUUAUAGUUGCAAACGACAACUAUGCUGAAGCACGUCUCGCUGCCUAACGGCGGUGCGGCACUUCAAAUCAAGCCCUUCCGGGUAGCACCGUAAGGCGGGGUCCGAAGGCACCUGGCAACAGAAGCCUUCACC
rnacentral:tmRNA from 1 species